GACGAACGCUGGCGGCGUGCUUAACACAUGCAAGUCGAGCGGUAAGGCUCCUUCGGGGGUACACGAGCGGCGAACGGGUGAGUAACGCGUGGGUAAUCUACCCCGGUCCGGGGGAUAACGCACCGAAAGGUGCGCUAAUACCGCAUAACCCGGCGAGACUGCGGAUUUGCCGGCAAAGGUGGCCUCUACAUGUAAGCUACCGGGUGGGGAUGAGCCCGCGUCCCAGUAGCUAGUUGGCGAGGUAAAGGCUCACCAAGACGACGAUGGGUAGCUGGUCUGAGAGGACGGCCAGCCACACUGGAACUGGAACACGGUCCAGACUCCUACGGGAGGCAGCAGUGAGGAAUAUUGCGCAAUGGGGGCAACCCUGACGCAGCGAUGCCGCGUGGGUGAAGAAGGCCUUCGGGUCGUAAAGCCCUGUCAGGCGGGAAGAACGACGGAGGGACGAAUAAUCCCUUCGAUUGACGGUACCGCCGAAGGAAGCACCGGCUAACUCCGUGCCAGCCGCCGCGGUAAUAC
rnacentral:rRNA from 1 species